rnacentral:rRNA from 1 species
CAUGCAAGUCGAACGAUGAAGCCGCUUCGGUGGUGGAUUAGUGGCGAACGGGUGAGUAACACGUGGGCAAUCUGCCCUUCACUCUGGGACAAGCCCUGGAAACGGGGUCUAAUACCGGAUAAUACUCUGUUCCGCAUGGAACGGGGUUGAAAGCUCCGGCGGUGAAGGAUGAGCCCGCGGCCUAUCAGCUUGUUGGUGGGGUAAUGGCCUACCAAGGCGACGACGGGUAGCCGGCCUGAGAGGGCGACCGGCCACACUGGGACUGAGACACGGCCCAGACUCCUACGGGAGGCAGCAGUGGGGAAUAUUGCACAAUGGGCGAAAGCCUGAUGCAGCGACGCCGCGUGAGGGAUGACGGCCUUCGGGUUGUAAACCUCUUUCAGCAGGGAAGAAGCGCAAGUGACGGUACCUGCAGAAGAAGCGCCGGCUAACUACGUGCCAGCAGCCGCGGUAAUACGUAGGGCGCAAGCGUUGUCCGGAAUUAUUGGGCGUAAAGAGCUCGUAGGCGGCUUGUCACGUCGGAUGUGAAAGCCCGGGGCUUAACCCCGGGUCUGCAUUCGAUACGGGCUAGCUAGAGUGUGGUAGGGGAGAUCGGAAUUCCUGGUGUAGCGGUGAAAUGCGCAGAUAUCAGGAGGAACACCGGUGGCGAAGGCGGAUCUCUGGGCCAUUACUGACGCUGAGGAGCGAAAGCGUGGGGAGCGAACAGGAUUAGAUACCCUGGUAGUCCACGCCGUAAACGUUGGGAACUAGGUGUUGGCGACAUUCCACGUCGUCGGUGCCGCAGCUAACGCAUUAAGUUCCCCGCCUGG